UUUUAAGGGAGAAAAUUACAUUUAGUGGUUAUAUCCGGUGUUGUUGUGGAAGGUUGAUGCUUUGAUCUGGAAGUCCUUGAGAAUCUACCAAACGGUGAGAAAUAUGGUUUUUCUCUUAAAUUAAGCAGAAUUUUAGCUUUGAUUAUAUAAAAUUAGACAAAUUAAACGAUAUUUUUUUCUUAUUGAACUCCACAUGUUUUUCGUGAGACGUUUUAUAGACCAACUUAGUAAAUAAUAACAUUUACCUAUAUAGACCAGUCUCCUUCGAGUAAUUCUCUCUUUCUAAUUAAUUAACUUUACAGUGCUUCUCACGCUAAAGAUUUUGAGGGUAAUUUACUUGUCUGUCUACCUGUACAUAUAUACAUACGUCGCGUGUUUGCAUUUUGUAUAAGAAACUCCUUGCAUUUGAAUGUCUAACGUGUGUCCUCCACGCUUUAAAUAUUCUAGUUUCGAUCAAAUCACAACAAAAACAUCAUACACACACACAGACAUAUAUAUAUAUAUAUAUAUAUAUAUAUAUAUAUAUAUAUAUGUGUGUGUGUGUGUGUGUGGUACUAUUUAAGGAGAGUGGUCCCGGUGCGCAUACUCGCGCAUCCGCGCUAGCUAGUCGUGACUACUCGAUCGUUUGUGUUUUUGUAUUUUAUUUUACUUCGUUUAAAAAAAUUAUGGUACUACUAGCGAACAGUGGUCCCGGUGUAUGUGUAUAUAUAUAUAUAUAUACGUGUAUAUAUUUUUGUAUGUAUGUAUGUAUGCGUGUGUGUAUGUAUGUGUGUGCAUGCAUGUAUUAUGUGUGUGUGUGUAUUGUAUAUUUGGGUGAAGGAGCAGACGAAAAUGGAACUCACACUUUUGCCUGGAGACAUUUUAACUAGUCUUAUAUCUGUGUGUGUAUGUAUGUAAGCGCUUUACUUAACUGGAAGUAUAUUUUAUACUCUUCUGGUAUACUUUAACCCUUUAGUGUUCGCAUUAUUCUGCCAAAAUUAAUCCUUUUUCAUCCACAUUGUUUCGAACUAAUCAUGCAUUAUCUUGUAGCUAUGAGAUUUUCAUGAGGUAGCUGUUAAUUUUUAAAACGAUAUUGUAGGGCUGGUGUGAGAGACCAGAUCUGGCCAGUUUGAACAUAAAACAGGCAGAAUACUUUUGGCCGGAUAUGGCCAGUUUAAAUGCUAAAAGGUUAAAGUAUAUCCUUUCGUGAUGUGCAAAUAAAUACCAUGAAUUUACCUUGAGAUAUACUCAUUAGAUUAUAUUUUUCUAUUAUUUGAGUUAGAAUACCUGCAUAUCUAUUAAUUCCAAAAACUAAAUUUUAAAUAUAUAUAUAGUACCAGAGGAUCUGUAGUUCUGACCUAAGGUUAGUAACACUCUUAUCAACUGGGCCAUUGACACACGCAUGUAUUUAUUCAGAAAUAAGGCACCUACUGACAAUCAGAGAUUGACCUUUGUUGUUUGUUCCUCCUUGAGCCAUGCCUGGCUCAUAAGGGCCACUUUCCCGGUUUCUUGGCGUAUAGGUUCCCCACCUGGAUGGGAUGCCGGUCUGUCGCAGGCGAGCUGCAAAAUGCAGGAGGAAAGAUUGAGAGAAAGUUGUGGCAAAAGAGUCAGCAGAAGUCUCGCCGUUACCUUCUGCCAGAGUCGCUUGGGGCUUAGGUGUUUCACUCAUAAACACACACAUCGCCCAGUCUGAGAUUUGAACCCACGAUCCCUCGACUGCGAGUCCGCUGCUCUAACCACUAGGCCAUGUGCCUCCACAGAUUGACCUGAUGAAAACACAGUGCAAAUGCCAUCAUCAUCAUCAUCAACGUUUUAGAUAGGUUUUCCAUGCUGGUAUGGGUUGGACAAGUCAUCACAGUCCUUGUCCUUCCUGUUCUGAGUUACUACCCAUUCAGUGGGGGUGGAGGGGCAAAUGACAACACCUCACUCGUUAUCAGUUUGAACAAAAAGACAGGUAGAAUAUUUUGGCUGGAUAUGACCGGUUUGAAUGCUGAAGGGUUAAUUGUCCAAGAAAUGUUAAUCUGAUUUCUAGAAUUGUUUACCAUUUUGAAGAAUUAUAUAAUUCUUACCAACAAUUUUUUUGCAGAAUAAAAGAUGACUUCAGCACCACUUCUCUACAAUCCACUGACGAAAAUGUCCGAGCAUUGGUUCAAUCACCAGUUUACACAGUGUGGUGACCUUGAGCUGGAUUUCUACAGGUGUGUCUCACGAGUUGGUUACGGCCGCUUCCAUUUGAACAAAGAAUGCAGCAUGGAGUAUGAAGACUUCAAAGAAUGUGCAGGCAAAAUAAAACAGGUACAUUGAACUCUCUCUCUCUCUACUGUAUCAUCAUUAUCAUCAUCGUUUAACGUCCAUUUUCCAUGCUAGCAUGGGUUGGAUGGUUCAACUGGGGUUUGGAAAGCCAUGAGGCUGCACCAGUCUGAUCUGGCAGUGUUUCUACAGCUGGAUGCCCUUCCUAACGCCAACCACUCCAAGAGUGUAGUGGGUGCUUUUAUGUACCACCAGCAUGGGGGCCAGUCAGGCGGUACUGGCAACGACCUUGCUCGAAUCUUUUUACACAUGCCAACAGUAGAGUUGCCAGUAAGGUGAUGCUGGUAACGAUCCCGCUCGAAUGGUACCUCCUAUAUGCCACCGGCACGGAAGCUAGUUAACCACUCUGGCAACGAUCACACUCGGGUGGUGCUCUUCGCAGCCUACUAGCACGGGGCAUAAGUGCCAGUAAAGCGAAGCUGGUAACGAUCACACUCGAAUGGUGCCUUUUAUGUGCCACUGGCAUGGAAGCUGUAUCAUCAUUAUCAUUUCGGUACCCUUCAACCCUCCCACCAUUAUCUAUGGUCAUCCUCCCCUAACCCUUACCCAUCAUUCACUAUAUCCAGUCCUCAACCUAUCCAGUCUCUGCAGUUGUCACCUACUCUCCCCUCCUCUACUUUUUUCCAUUCAACACUUGUUCUUCACUCAUACUUACCUCCUCACCCAUUCCCAACCCCUCAUUCUCCCAUAUACUCUACAAACUCACCCCUCCCACUCUGUUCUCUUCUCACUCACUUUUAUUCACCUUGUACCUUGAACGUCAUCCCUACUAUUUAAUCUCUUCCUUGCUUCAUACCGAUCGCCCCACAUCCUCUCUUCUAAAAUACAAGUAGCCAUGUGGUCCCUCUACAAUAAGUAAACCUAUUUUGAUCUGGCCCUUUCUCCCAUACUUUAAACCUUCACCUAGCAUAAAGCUGCCUCUCUCAGGGUUCAUCCCUGUACAAGCAUUGGCAACCUCACUAAUGCUGGUGCCUUGUAAAAGAGCACUCAGUGUACACUGAAAUGGCAGGCACUUGUAAGUGUAUCCAGUCAUAGAAACCAUGCCAGAGUAGGCAUUAACCGUUUUUGGGACACCCCUCCCUUCAUGACCUCUACCCUACUUACUCAUCCCACAACCACACUUUUAUUUACUUUAUGCUUCCUCACAACAUAAGCCAAAAAACAAUGUCUGGAAGAUGCCCCAUGUGGCAGCAGACCAUUGAUGCCAGUCUGAUGAAGUGCUGCCACUCUAAUCACGAAAAUUUUCACUUCAAAUAUUCACAUAGACUAGGGUUGCAAGCAGACUGGGUACAGAAACAAUUGUAACAAAUCAUCAAAGAGGUGUUCAAGAAUGCCUUUGUCUUAUUAUUUGGGUUAUAACUCACUCUUUGCCAAGCCCAUGUUGCAGUGUGACCAUUGUGGAAUAAGGAUUUUCUACAUUUAAAGAAUUCCUGCAUUGGCCUGGAACCCAACAGUGUUGAUAGCCCAGUAUUCAGGACGAAUGCUUCUGGAAAUCCCCUAACCUUACCCUACCAGGACCUAAGAUAUAUAAUAUAUAUACAUAUAUACAUACCUAUGUGCAUGUGUGUGUGUAUGUAUGUAUGUAUAUAUAUAUAUAUAGUUGCGAAAUUGCUGACGUGGCCAAUGACAGUAUCUCCUGAUUGGCACCCAUGCCAGUGGAACGUUAAAAGCACUAUCCGAGCAAGAUUAUUGCCAGGGCCAUUGGCUAGCUCCCAUGCUGGUGGCACAUAAAAAGCACCAUUUGAGCGCGAUCGAUUCCAGCUUCGCCUUACUGACACCCAUGCCAGUGGCACAUGAUAAAACAAGAUUUGAGCGUGGUCAUUGCCAGUGCUGCUUGACUGGCUCCUGUGCAGGUGGCACGUAAAAAACACCAUUUGAGCGUGGUCGUUGCCAAUACCACCUGACUGGCCCUUGUGCCAGUGGCACAUAAAAGCACCCACUACACUCACGGAGUGGUUGGCUUUAGGAAGGGCAUCCAGCUGUAGAGGCUUUGCCAGAUCAGGAGCCUGGUGCAGCCUUCUGGCUCGCCAGUCCUCAGUCAAACCGUCCAACUCAUGCCAGCAUGGAAAGCAGACGGCAAACGCCAAUGAUGAUGAUCAUGUUGUUAUAAUGUUCAGCUGUUGUAUUUCCAAAUUUGGCCAAAUGCAUUUAUUUUUGCUUCCAACAACUGGGUUCUUUUGGUCAAUCUAUUGUUUAUUCAGCUGCUUCAGAUGCCAAGAUAUCAAAAGUGUGGUCAAACGAUUUUGCUAUGGAAUGGUGAAACUAUUUUUUCAUUUUCUGAAAGGAAAGCAACUUUUUGGACUUAUGACACUUGUGCAUAAUAGCAACGACAUACAUCUGUCCAUGUGUAUUUAUAUAUAGUUUAUAUAUAUUCAUUUAAGAAACACACAAAAACCGUUAGAUUCGCUUCAACAUUUAAAUUUAAAGCGACGAAAAUAUUUUGACAAAUUAAAUUUAAAUGUUGAAGUGAAUCUAACGGUUUUUGUGUUUUACUUAAAUGGCUUAUAAACAUCUUCCAUGCUGCAAUUGUUUUCGUUCUAGCACAUGAUCUCAGAUCAGGUUACUUGCUAUGCAAGUAUAUCUCCAUAAUAUAUUCAUUGUAAACUCACAAAUAGCAAUUGUAGGCUGCCUCAGCUUGUAAGUUCAAUACUACAUUCUCAGCCCAAUCUUGGCUCCGGUUGGUACAACUAAAUUCUAAAGAAUCCUGCAACUGAGCUAUGUAUAUAUUCCUUUACUUGUUUCAGUCAUUUAACUGUGGCCAUGCUGGAACACCACCUUGAAGGCUUUUAGUCAAAUAAAUCGAUACCCAGGACUUAUUUCUUAAACCUAGUACUUAUUCUAUCAGUCUGUUUGGCCAAACCACUAAGUUAUAGGGAUGUAAACACCCCAUCACUGGUUGUCAAGCAGUGAUAGUGGGGACACAUACAUAUAUAUAUACAACAGACUUCUUUCAGUUUCUUAUUUCUUUACUACCCACAAGAGAGGACAAACAAGGACAGACAAAAGGAUUGAGUCGAUUAUAUCUACCCCAGUGCGUAACUGGUACUUAAUGUAUUGACCUCGAAAGGAUGAAAGGUAAAGUCAACCACGGCGGAAUUUGAACUCAGAACGUAAUGGCGGACGAAAUAUCACUAACCAUUUCGACCGGCGUGCUAACAUUUCUGCCAGCUUACCGCCUUCUUUCAGUUUCUGUCUACCAGAUCCGCUCACUUUCCCAAGAUGCCAAGCAGUAGGACUGAACCUAGAACUAUGUGGUUGGGAGGCAAGCUUCUUACCACACGGCUACGCCUGCAAAAUUAUCACAAAACUGUUACUCAGAGUUUCACAUUCCCAUUUAUUGGUCAGUUGUGAUGAAAAAUCUGUGCUCACUUUUGUGUGUAUGUGUAUAUAUGUGUGUGUGAAGUCGCGUGGCCUAGUGGUUAGGGCAUUCGGCUCACGAUCAUAAGGUCAUGAGUUCAAUUCCCAGCGACGCAUUGUAUCCUUGAGCAAGACACUUUAUUUCAUGUUGCUCCAGUCCACUCAGCUGACAAAAUUGAGUUGUACCUGUAUUUCAAAGGGCCAGCUUUGUCACACUCUGUGUCACGCUGAAUCUCCCCUGGAACUACAUUAAGGGUACACAUGUCCAUGGAGUACUCAGCCACUUGCAUGUUAAUUUCACGAGUAGGCUGUUCCAUCGAUCGUCGUCGUUAUAACCAACAGAGUAAUCCUCCUAUAUAUAUAUAUGUGUGUGUGUUUAAUCUCUAUAUAUAAAGCUGAAGUUUUCUGUGUGUGGCAGAUUUGGUAGCCUUCAACUAACACUAUCUCCUCUGAGACCCUGCGGCACAAGUUGACCAAAAUUGAGAGUAUAAUAGAAGAAGGGUUGCUCUUCCUUCCGUAGAAGAAAAAAUUCAAAUCGGACCAUGUUAACACCAAAAAUUAUUUACAUUAAAACGAUGUUUUUUUUUCUAUGAAAAUCCCUAUAUUUUUACGAUUUUUUGACUGCUGUGUCGCCAUUUUUCGGUGUAUUUCAACCAGAAAAAUGUUCACUUAAAGAGAAUAACAAGCUACAUAAUGCAAAAUUUUUACUUUUCAAAAAUUCCAAUUCUAAAGGGUCGAAACAAACCCGAGCAAUGCCGGGCGAUUCUGCUACUUAUUCUAUAAAACUUUUUACGAUGAUUUAAUAAUUUGUUUUUCUCUUUUCUUUCUUUCUUUCUUUCUUUCAGAAUCAACGUUAUAUAGCAAUGCAGGCUGAACGGGCCAAGCAAGGUCGUCAAUAUAUGGAACGACCACCAGACCACUCUGCAAAGGUUAUUCGAUAAUACCUAAGACCAGAAAUAAAAUAAAAUAUUUAAAUAUUAACCAAAAAAAAACAAAAAAAAACAGCGGAAGUUAGUUCCAAUUAUUUUAGGUUAUUUUAUUGUUGGUUUUUACAAUUAAUAAAUAAGAUUUGAAGAUUUAAAAUU
rnacentral:lncRNA from 1 species